rnacentral:rRNA from 1 species
GACUUUUAUCAAGGCAGGCGACGCGAGUCACGAGCGACCGGCCUAUCACGACUUGUCGGUGGGCUAGUGGCCCACGGCGGUUACGACGGGUGACGGGGAAUCAGGGUUCGAUUCCGGAGAGGGAGCACGAGAAACGGCUACCACAUCCAAGGAAGGCAGCAGGCGCGCAAAUUACCCACUCCCGGAUCGGGGAGGUAGUGACGAGAAAUACACGUGCCUCGGCGGUUCUCGCCGCCGUACGGCAACGCUGAAUGGGUGGGACGUGAACAGUCCACACGACGAUCUACCGAAGGGCAAGCCUGGUGCCAGCAGCCGCGGUAAUUCCAGCUUCGGCAGCGUACACGAACGUUGUUGCGGUUAAAAAGCUCGUAGUCCAAGCGCUGUCGCACUUGUGUGGCGACUCCUGUGGUACCAUGAAGAAAUCGGCGAGAUUCAGUCCAUGGCAGCGCCAAUUUAUGUGGCCGCCGUACGUACGUUCGUGGGAUAUCGGAAGAAGGCCGUGUGGCAGGCGUUCCUAGCGUUCGUCUGUUCGCCGGCAAUGAUCUGUGGGGAUGACGCGGGCCGUUCGUAUUGCGAGGCGA